UGAGGAAUAUUGGUCAAUGGGCGAGAGCCUGAACCAGCCAAAUCGCGUGAAGGAAGACUGCCUUAUGGGUUGUAAACUUCUUUUAUACAGGAAUAAAAAACGGGGACGUGUCCCCUUAUUGCAUGUACUGUAUGAAUAAGCAUCGGCUAACUCCGUGCCAGCAGCCGCGGUAAUACGGAGGAUGCGAGCGUUAUCCGGAUUUAUUGGGUUUAAAGGGUGCGCAGGCGGGCUUUUAAGUCAGCGGUGAAAUCUCGGGGCUUAACUCCGAAACUGCCGUUGAAACUGGGAGUCUUGAGUAUGGAUGAAGUAGGCGGAAUUCGUUGUGUAGCGGUGACAUGCUUAGAUAUAACGAGGAACUCCGAUUGCGUAGGCAGCUUACUAAGCCAUAACUGACGCUCAAGCACGAAAGCGUGGGGAUCAAACAGGAUUAGAUACCCUGGUAGUCCACGCCGUAAACGAUGAUUACUAGUUGUAUGCGAUAUACCGUAUGUGACUAAGCGAAAGCGAUAAGUAAUCCACCUGGGGAGUACGCCGGCAACGGUGGAACUCAAAUGAAUUGACGGGGUCAUAGCUGUUUCCUG
rnacentral:rRNA from 1 species